rnacentral:rRNA from 1 species
GAUGAACGCUGGCGGCGUGCUUAACACAUGCAAGUCGAACGGAGAUAUUAAAAAUGAAGUAAGGAGCUUGCUUCGGACGGAAUGAUUAAUAUCUUAGUGGCGGACGGGUGAGUAACGCGUGGAUAACCUGCCUUAUACUGGGGGAUAACACUUAGAAAUAGGUGCUAAUACCGCAUAAGCGCACAGCUUCGCAUGAAGUAGUGUGAAAAACUCCGGUGGUAUAAGAUGGAUCCGCGUCUGAUUAGCUAGUUGGUGGGGUAACGGCCCACCAAGGCGACGAUCAGUAGCCGGCCUGAGAGGGUGAACGGCCACAUUGGGACUGAGACACGGCCCAAACUCCUACGGGAGGCAGCAGUGGGGAAUAUUGCACAAUGGGGGAAACCCUGAUGCAGCGACGCCGCGUGAGUGAAGAAGUAUUUCGGUACGUAAAGCUCUAUCAGCAAGGAAGAGAAUGACGGUACUUGACUAAGAAGCCCCGGCUAACUACGUGCCAGCAGCCGCCGUAA